ACCAAACCAAUCCUAUGCCUCCUCCCCUGCUCUCGCCAUCACCCACAGAACCCCACCCAAUUCCUCACUCGCUCGCCGAGAUGAAAGCGGCCGCGGCGGCCGGGGGCGGACACGCGGGGGAGAAGUAGUUUGGGUCCAUGCCGCCGCCCUUUGCCUCCCCCCCACCACCGUCCACGCUGCCGCCCUUGGCCGCCGCCACCACCGCCGUCCGGGCCGCCGCCCUUUGCCGCCUCCACCACCGCCGCCCUUUGCCGCCGCCACCACCGCCCUCCCCGCGCCGCCCUUUACCUCCGCCCCCACCGCUGUCCAAGCCACUCUUGGCCGUCACCGAGGAUCCCGGCUGCGUAGUGAAUCCAUCGCAAAGGAUCUCGAGGCCUGCCGCCCCGCUUGGCGCACCCAUUGGAUGCCUUGCCGCCUCUCCUCCUCUGUGCUUCACUGGAGAAUCCUUUUUGAUCGUGGCCUUGCCCUAGAUGCUAGAAUCUACGAUUCCUCACCUAUAGUAUGGAUUAUGGAAGUGCAUCUGCACCUAGGGCUCUAGCUGCUGAUGGCCAGAGAUAACAGCGAUGUGUACGAGUCACACGACAACUCCUGGCAAGCCUUUCGUGGAAACAUCGAGUACUGUUUAAGAUUUUUUGUCCACGGGAAACUAAUUAAUGUAUUUGGUGGAUGUACAGGGCUACGUAGUGGUUGCAGUCUUGUAUUAGCAAGUGAACGAUUUAGUGUUCAUUGGCAACAAAAGGAAGUGAAUAAUAUCAUGCCAUAAUUUAGUGUUGCUUCCUGGUCCUUGGUAGAUGAUGCAUUCUUCUUCUGCAUGGAAAUCUGCAAAUUGAUUAUCUGCAUACUAUUUGUCCGUACUUCUCCAAGAUCUGAGCAUACCAUCUUAGGAACUUCCGAAACUUCCUGGUGUGACAUAAGUUCAGGAGUGUAAUUUAUCAUUGUAAAAGUGCGUACUAAACCUUAAUAACAAGGGAUUCUGUUAUUUCUUUCUCAAUUUACUUGCAUCUUCAGAAAUCUGGUGUAUAGAGCAGCAAUGUUCAGUUUGCGUGGUCAUAUUAUUCUGAAUUUCAAGGAACAAAAAUGAUGUAUAUUUGAAGACGUACAUGUUGAGGAACAAAAUAAUGUGAUUUCGAGGAACAACAUUAAAUAGGCAGGAGGACAAUGGAUAUUUUUGGGUCAGUAUUUUCCAAUUAGAUACAUAUUUCAACUUGCAAUUAGGAGGUUCUGAACCUCCCUUUUCUUGAUGGAGAGCAUGCAAUGAAGAAACCACCACCACUGGUUUGUCACAACCAUAGUAAGUGCAUGGUUGUUUGGGUGAUAGCCUUAUAACUGUCACAGUUAAUUGAUGGUCUACAUCCAUGGUAUGGCUGCAUAACUUUUAUGUUUUCUCUCAUAUUAGUCAUUCACCAUGUUCCUCUUACCAGCGCCUUGACUGGAACGAAGGUGCUUACCAUCGCUGAACAUUUAUUUAGCAAUCUAUUGCCGCUCGAUAUCCGCAUGUUCCUUCCACCAUGGAGCAUGAUUUGCAAAGAAUGGUGGAGUUGCUUGGUUGUUUCUAUGAAUUGGUGGAGGAUGUAGAGGCUCAUCUGCAUUCCGUGUCCAGGUCCAUACCUUGCAUCAAAUUCCAGCCUUUACAGCCACUCGAAGCGCUUUUCACUGUACAAACAGCAUGCGGAGAAGCUAAUGGAGUCUUGUUCAGGUUAUCACUGCUUUUGCUCCAGCAAGGUAUCUUUCUCCCUCUUUACUAACCUUUACGUUUGCCUGAUUGGUGAAACAUGAGUCACGUGAUUCCAGUUGCGCAUGCAUAUAACAUAGACUAUUUUGUAGGCUCGUAUUAACAUGGGAACUGAGUAAACUUCUCCAAAUGUAUUCUUUUGGUUCCUUUGAGUAAAAUGCUUGGUAUUUUGUAUUUUGUGUUCAUAUUAACACUUCUGCAAGUCAUCACAUGCCUUUUAAUAUUUUAGAAAGUACAACGAGUCUUGCGAAGGGUCCUCGAGGAAGCUCAAUAGAUGACUAUUCUCAGUGGAGAUGAUACCCAAGAUGUUAUUCUGAAAAUAUAUGCCAUGAGAGAAAGAUAUACUUGAAACCCGCGGAGGUCAAUGAUGCGUGAGAUUACAUCAAACUAUCACGGUUUAACCUAAAUGCUGCAGGUUUGAAUGGCUUUCGCUCAGACUUACUUUCUUUAUUAUGCAUUUAUCCUUUUUAGAUGUUAAACUCUGAUGAUCACACUACUUUAUUAUCCUAUUCCGGGAUCCAUCAAGGAAGCCAUUAUGAAAUUAAGGGAGAACAACUUAAUGUCCUUUCAUGUUCGAUUUACGGAUUAACAGACUUUUACCUGUAGAAUUCGGGGUGACUUUUCACCUAAUGUUCUUGAAAAUUUUAAAUAGUGAAAUGGUUGUUUUGAUGCGGCGGUAAACUUUUUCCUGAAGAGAUUGAGAUUGCCAGGAUUCAGAUUGGAUCCCUGCUGUGUCAGCGUAGGAGAACUGCUCGAACACGUAGGCACGACGUGACCGACACUUUAUAUUUACUAAAAGAUAAACUUCUGAUAGUAAAAUGCUUUUUUUUCUUGAGAAAAAUUGUAAUGGCCAUAUAUUUCCUUUAUGUUCCAUUGUUAUGUAUCUGUUUUUGAUAAUCUUAAUUGUUACUUUUCAUUGUUUAUCUCUAGAUAUGCAAAGAAGUUGGAUUUGCCACAAGUUUAUUUGAGAGAAUGGUUAUGCUCAAAUUUAAUAUACAUUUGCUGAACAUACAUUAUCACAUGAAUCCUUCUUCAUGUUAUUUCCAAAUGUCUAGUUUUAUGAGAGGAAGAUUAGCAGGGCGGCCAAGUUCAAGGUGCACUUCCACGCCGGCGGGUCGAGCUUGACGGCAAUCCGACGCAGGCGGCGUCCACCAACAGCUGCUCCUCCAAGGACGAGGUGGGCCACACGCAAGAGACCUGCAUACAGAUUUGCUGUUUCAUGUUAUUUAUUUGCUUAUUUCCUGUUUGGUCUUAAUUCCUGUUUUUUGUUUGUAAUAGUUGUUCAUGGGAUGAAAUUUCUAAAUCACCUUGGUUUGUUUGCAUACCCAAAUUGUAAUAAUUAAAUUUUAUUACUUUGUGGAUAGAAAUGUAUUUGUCCACAUUCUGCUCUUGAACCACAGAAUUUCUUUACAUGUACAUAUAUAUAGAAAUUUGCAUGAAGAAUUGGUGCUGUAGGUGUCAUGGGCAGGGGCAUAAUUUCGCGAAAUGCAAUGUGGAGUUGUCUAUCGAUCCCUCUUGGACUAGACCCAUGUAGUUAUUUUUCAUUUUGCUUCGAUCAUAUGGCAUAUGUCUUGCAUGCUAUGUAACAAUUAGUCACAAGAGGGUAUUAUCAUCAUUUAAUGUAGAAUCAUGCUAUUUGAGUGGCAUAAAUAAAUAAAAAUAUAUAGCUUUUUAAGCACAUUAAUUAUCUUUUAUAUGUUGCAAUGUAGCCCGUUAGAUAUUUUUCUAGCGCAUAUAAUGUUUUCUUUUUCUCGAUGCAACACACGGGCCUUUUGCUAGUAACGACAAAUAUGAAUAAGUCCCAAGCACUUUGCAAGCAAGAGCACUUGGCACUUGGGGGCUAAUGCAUAUUGCUCGCGUUUUCAUUACUACUUUAUGAUGACCCGGUUGUGCUGCAAACGACCACAGCCGACUCAUGGGGGCUACACAAGUAAGUUUUGAUUUAUAAACAAUGACGAACAGUACCGGUUCAUUCUUGCUGAUUAAACCGGCCCUUGGGGGCUACGGAUGCAAUGUCAAUCGUUAAAGAUCCGGUUUAACUCCGAUGGUGAAAGCCAGAUUUUGAAGGAUUCUACCAAAUACUCAUAGCUAUUCUAUGUCUAUAGCAUAUUAUAUUCUAUUAUACACAGUAGACUUGGGGG